rnacentral:SRP_RNA from 1 species
GCCAGGUGUGGUGAUGCAUGCCUGUAAUCCUAGCUACUCAGGAGGCUGAGGCAGGAGAAUCGCUUGAACCCAGGAGGUGGAGAUUGCAGUGAGCCAAGAUCACACCACUGCACUCCCGCCUGGGUGACAGAGUGAGAUCCCAUCUCAA